CAUUUAGGGAGAUAUUAUGAAUUUUCUUUAGAUUGAAUUUUGGGGAUUGUUCCAUAAAUCAAGCUAAUUUGUGUUAUUUGGCUUUAUUAAAAAUUAAUCAUCUUUACCACAAAUUAAGAGUAACUUUAGAAAUAAUAGUGCCUGGUGUAGUGCCAACCCUUCCAUUUCCAUAUUUCCCCCAACCCAAAUCCAACCCAAGAAACUGGCUGCAAAGUGCAAACCCUUCCAUUUCCAUAUUUCCAUUUGAAGUAGAAGCGUGAAUUCAUGGCAGUGGAGCGUGUGCGAAGUCAGGGACGAGAAGCGGAAGCAUUAGCUGUGUGGUGUUGGUGAAGUGUGAAGUUCGAAUCCGUGGCGGUGGAUUUUUUCGACUUUGUGCGCAUGUAUUUUUCUUCAAAUUUGACAGACCUUUGUUAAUUUUUGUGUAUAAAGAAUUAAUUCUGCAACCAGCCCUUCUGCGUUCUACCGCCUGUGCGUAUAUGUCUUCCCUUUAAUUCAAGCCUCUACCCUUUUUCUACUAUGUACACAAAACAAAUUCGAUCCCCCGUUUUUUGCUGUGUUCCAAUCGUCUUUUCUAUGGUUCUCUCCCUUUUUCUUCAAUGUUGGCGUGUAUAUCUGUUCUCCACCAAGGCAGUCGCCUUUUUGUGUAUCCCCCCGGUAGUAUAUAUUAAUUUAAGGCAGCAAUUCUCAUCUACUUGAACUCCAAUUCCCCUCAAAAGGAGCCAACAACUUGUAGUUUAUUUCACCUCAAAUUCCCACCAGUAGCCGCAAUAUCUGUAUUGAGAGAGUUCAAAAGCAAUUGCAUUUUUUUACUACAAAACCAGUCCCUUUUGCCUCCAUUUUCUAUUGCAUAUAUAUGUUCAGCCUUUCAGUCUUUCCUCCAAUUUCAACAAUUGGCAGCCUCAAAUUGUACUUAUCAGUGGACCGUGUGUGAAGUUAGGGACAAGAAACAGAGGCAGCAGUUGCGCGGCGCCUGCAAAUUGGGAAAGAAUUGAAUAGUUAUGGCUGCAGAGGUGCCAAGCUGAGCAUAUUAAUGGGGUGCAGAAGGAAUUGAUGCAAUGGAAGAUGAGAAUACUAAAAGCAACAGAGAAGUGGGCACAACUGCCAUUUUAAUGUAUUGUUUAAUAGUGAAUAUACAAUGCUCAUUUCCUUUUGAAAAUCUCAUUGGUGGAACAUGUUUUGUGGUCUUGUAAUUAUAUUUUGGUGGUACAUGUUUUAAUUUUAUUUUGGAAAAUAGAAUGUGUUGAACAUUUUACAAGUUUAUUAUGCGAAUUAUUAGUUUAUUA